UACGUAGGGUGCGAGCGUUAAUCGGAAUUACUGGGCGUAAAGCGUGCGCAGGCGGUUUUGUAAGCCAGAUGUGAAAUCCCCGGGCUUAACCUGGGAAUGGCAUUUGGGACUGCAAGGCUCGAGUGCGGCAGAGGAGACUGGAAUUCCUGGUGUAGCAGUGAAAUGCGUAGAUAUCAGGAGGAACACCGAUGGCGAAGGCGGCUCUCUGGACCACAACUGACGCUGAGGCGCGAAAGCUAGGGGAGCAAACAGG
rnacentral:rRNA from 1 species